UACGUAGGGUGCAAGCGUUGUCCGGAAUUAUUGGGCGUAAAGAGCUCGUAGGCGGUUUGUCGCGUCUGCUGUGAAAUCCCGAGGCUCAACCUCGGGUCUGCAGUGGGUACGGGCAGACUAGGGUGUGGUAGGGGAGAUUGGAAUUCCUGGUGUAGCGGUGGAAUGCGCAGAUAUCAGGAGGAACACCGAUGGCGAAGGCAGAUCUCUGGGCCAUUACUGACGCUGAGGAGCGAAAGCAUGGGGAGCGAACAGG
rnacentral:rRNA from 1 species